UACGUAGGUGGCAAGCGUUGUUCGGAUUUACUGGGCGUAAAGGGCGCGUAGGCGGCCACCGCAAGUCGACUGUGAAAUCUCCGGGCUUAACCCGGAAAGGUCAGCCGAUACUGCGGGGCUAGAGUGCAGAAGGGGCAACUGGAAUUCUCGGUGUAGCGGUGAAAUGCGUAGAUAUCGAGAGGAACACCAGUGGCGAAGGCGGGUCUCUGGGCCGAUACUGACGCUGAGGAGCGAAAGCGUGGGGAGCGAACAGG
rnacentral:rRNA from 1 species